GAUGAACGCUGGCGGCGUGCCUAAUACAUGCAAGUCGAGCGAACAGACGAGGAGCUUGCUCCUCUGACGUUAGCGGCGGACGGGUGAGUAACACGUGGAUAACCUACCUAUAAGACUGGGAUAACUUCGGGAAACCGGAGCUAAUACCGGAUAAUAUAUUGAACCGCAUGGUUCAAUAGUUAAAGACGGUUUUGCGUCACUUAUAGAUGGAUCCGCGCCGCAUUAGCUAGUUGGUAAGGUAACGGCUUACCAAGGCGACGAUGCGUAGCCGACCUGAGAGGGUGAUCGGCCACACUGGAACUGAGACACGGUCCAGACUCCUACGGGAGGCAGCAGUAGGGAAUCUUCCGCAAUGGGCGAAAGCCUGACGGAGCAACGCCGCGUGAGUGAUGAAGGUCUUCGGAUCGUAAAACUCUGUUAUUAGGGAAGAACAAAUGUGUAAGUAACUAUGCACGUCUUGACGGUACCUAAUCAGAAAGCCACGGCUAACUACGUG
rnacentral:rRNA from 1 species